rnacentral:rRNA from 1 species
GUAGGUGGCAAGCGUUGUCCGGAAUUAUUGGGCGUAAAGCGCGCGCAGGCGGUUCUUUAAGUCUGAUGUGAAAGCCCACGGCUCAACCGUGGAGGGUCAUUGGGAACUGGAGAACUUGAGUACAGAAGAGGAAAGCGGAAUUCCACGUGUAGCGGUGAAAUGCGUAGAGAUGUGGAGGAACACCAGUGGCGAAGGCGGCUUUCUGGUCUGUAACUGACGCUGAGGCGCGAAAGCGUGGGGAGCAAACAGGAUUAGAUACCCUGGUAGUCCACGCCGUAAACGAUGAGUGCUAAGUGUUAGGGGGUUUCCGCCCCCCUUAGUGCUGCAGCUAACGCAUUAAGCACUCCGCCUGGGAUACGGCCACAAGGCUG